ensembl:lncRNA
GCUGUCGCUAGGUGACAACAGCGCUACAUCAGGAAAUUAUACGACUCGCAGUGUCCAAACAUUUUAUUUUAUUAUUUUUAAACAUUUCUUGGGUUACAAACUGAUUCACAAUUGUAUAGAAUUAGCUACUGGUUGCCAAUUUUUAUUCAAGCUACAUUGUGUAGAUAGCUAGUCGUAGCUUAGUAAUGUUAUGAGGGUCGAUGUUACGGCCUGACAUUAUUAUUGGGUUGAGUCGUGGUUUCAGACGAGAGGGACACACACACACAUAUAUAUAUAUAUAUAUAUAUAUAUAUUGUUGUCCAAAUUGAAAUUGAAGGACCCAAAUUAGGUAGCUAUUGUGCUAACCCAGGGGCUAACUUAACAAUGCCAGAAGCGAACUGGCUACCAACUAGCUAGCCAAGCGAACGUACAGUAAAUUACCUAGUUAAUGUACUCCGAUAUUUAGCUACGCUAACUGUUAGCUAGCUAAGGGUUAACCAGAGUACCGUUAGAUAACUAAUGUUAGCUAGCUAACAGUUAGCUGGAUACUUGGUCUCAGGUUGCAAGUACAUUUCUAUUGAGCUACAUUAACGUGAGUUACCCAGAUCAAGGUAACGUUAGUUAUAGUUAGUUUGCUAGUCUAGUCAAACUGCAGUCACACAGGCUACACGUUAGCUGCUAGGUACAUUAAAAAAUAUAUAUUUUCGGGAACGACAACUUCAUUCAGGGGUCUGUCAUUGUUUGCCUUUCUAUCUGGGAUUUCACCGAUUUGCUUCCAUCUGUUAAACUGAGGAUUCACAAAACCUGUCCCCCAUGUGAAGAUGACCUCUCUGGAUGAAGAAUACUGAACAGAGGAGGAGGAGAAGAAGAAGAAGAAUACUGAACAGAGGAGAAGAAGAAGAAGAAGAAUACUGAACCGAGGAGAAGAAGAAUACUGAACAGAGGAGAAGAAGAAUACUGAACAGAGGAAGAGAAGAAGAAGAAUACUGAACAGAGGAGGAGAAGAAGAAGAAUACUGAACAGAGGAGGAGAAGAAGAAGAAUACUGAACAGAGGAGGAGAAGAAGAAGAAUACUGAACAGAGGAGGAGAAGAAGAAGAAUACUGAACAGAGGAGGAGAAGAAGAAGAAUACUGAACAGAGGAGGAGAAGAAGAAGAAUACUGAACAGAGGAGGAGAAGAAGAAGAAUACUGAACAGAGGAGGAGAAGGAGGAGAUGAAUACUGAACAGAGGAGGAGGAGGAGGAGAUGAAUACUGAACAGAGGAGGAGGAGGAGGAGAUGAAUACUGAACAGAGGAGGAGGAGGAGGAGAUGAAUACUGAACGGAGGAGGAGGAGGAGAUGAAUACUGAACGGAGGAGGAGGAGAUGAAUACUGAACAGAGGAGGAGGAGAUGAAUACUGAACAGAGGAGGAGGAGAAGGAGAUGAAUACUGAACAGAGGAGGAGGAGGAGGAGAUGAAUACUGAACAGAGGAGGAGGAGAAGAAGAAUACUGAACAGAGGAGGAGGAGAAGAAGAAUACUGAACAGAGGAGGAGGAGAAGAAGAAUACUGAACAGAGGAGGAGGAGAAGAAGAAUACUGAACAGAGGAGGAGGAGGAGGAGAUGAAUACUGAACGGAGGAGGAGGAGGA